UUGCUUCUCUUUCUUCCACUUUUUCUUCCUUUUUUUUUUUUUUUACCCUGUCGUCCUUGUCCUGUAGUUUUUCUGCUUGUCCUGGAGUUUUUCUCCAAAAGCUCUUCGCAUUCCUCUCUCUCUUUUGCAUCUCUCCUCCGGGUCUUUUCUUCUCUCUGUAGCAGCAUUUCUUCUUGCUGUUUGAGUCGGUGUUCUUUGUCGAUUGAGCUAUUUUCCCACUCUGUUUCCUUUCUUUGUGUAGCAGUGUUUCCACAUUAGCCUGGGCUAGGUGUUGCUGCUGGUCUGUAUUUUUUCCUGUCUUUUUUGCUCCCUUUUUUCUCACAUCUUGUGUACUUCUCUCUUCUUUUUGCCUUCGCUAAAUGCUUUGUAGUCGAGGGUGUAGCGGUUCCUUAGGUCUCUCCUAUUGAGGGAGGUUGUUGUUCCUAUAUCUUCCUUGCUUAUUCCCUCAGUGUCUGCAUCUGUGGUUUCUGUUGCCAUGCUGUCAUUGGCUAUCUCGUCCUGGCUAAGUCCAGCCUCGUCAUAAUCCAAGUCCGUGUCUUCAAGUUCAGGAUCCGUAAUUAGUUUGGCAUUUUUUUAGCUUAUUGAAACAGAUCUUCCAAACGUUGAUCUGAGCCUUGGAUGAAUGAUGUUACGUGCACUGUCAGGCGUGAGUGUAGGAGAGCUGAGCGAAAGUGGAAGGAGGACAGAUCUCAGUUGUCCUUCCAGUUACUGCGUGACUGUUGGCGUUUUUAUCAGAAAACUAUGAAGGCUGCUAAAUUCAAGUACUCUUCUGAUGUUAUUGAUUCGAACUGUCAUAAUCCUCUUGUUCUUUUUAAGAUUGUAAAUUCUGUUUUAAGUGCACCACAAUUGGAUGGUCUGGAGAGCUCCACUGAAUUGUGUGAGAAUUUUGAGUUUUUUUUUUUUCUUAAAAAAGGUUGCUGGUAUUAGGGCCCUCAUUAGUUCUCCUGCUUAUGACCCUUCUAUUUCUGUGACAUGCUCAGCUGUUUUUGACCAGUUUUAGUCUGUCAGUUUGCUGUCUUUGCGAGAUAUUAUUGGUCAUAUGAAGCCUGCUGGUUCUUCAAAUGACCCCUUGCCACCUCGUCUUCUUAAAGAGGCUUUUUCCAUGUUGUCACCGUAUGUAUUGAAUAUUAUUAAUGGGAGUUUGGUUAAUGGUAUAGUGCCUACCAGUUUCAAGAAUGCAGUGGUGACCCCACUUAUUAAGAAAUCUGGCUUGGCUUCUUCUGAAUUGUCCAAUUAUAGGCCAAUUUCCAAACUUCUGUUUCUUUCUAAAAGUUUGGAGAAAAUUGUAUACUGCCAGUUGAGUUCUUUUCUUAAUAAUCAUGACACCCUGGAGUUGUUUCAGUCUGGUUUUAAAUCCCGUCACAGUACUGAGUCGGCACUGCUGCGGGUUUUUAAUGACAUUUGUAUAGCUACUGAUUCUGGUCACUGUGUUGUUUUGGUCCUGUUGGAUCUAACAGUGGCCUUCGAUACAGUGGACCAUCAGAUCCUCUUGUCUUGCCUGGAAAACUGGGUGGGCAUUAAGGGUGUUGUUUUAGACUGGUUUAGAUCCUACCUAUCAGAGAAGUUUUUGUGUCCGUAUUGGAGCUGCUGAAUCUUGUGCAGCGCCCCUUGCAUGUGGGGUGUCUCAAGGCUCCAUACUUGGUCCGCUUCUUUUUUCUUUGUAUUUACUCCCAAUAGGAUCAAUUUUUAGGAGACGUGAUAUCUCUUAUCAUUUUUAUGCUGAUGACUGUCAAAUUUAUCUGCCACUGAAGCAGCAAAAUGCAUACUCUGCGAACCAUCUCCUAGAGUGCAUUGGUGACAUUAAAGCAUGGUUGUACAUAAACUUUGUACACCCGAAUGAUAAAAAGACUGAGGUGCUGCUGUUUGGGCCGAGUGACACUUCCAAAAUCAAUGUUGAUCUGGGUCCCAUGAGUCAGUAUCUGACACAGACAGCAAUAAACCUGGGUGUAAAGCUGGACAGUGAUCUUAAAUUUGCUGCUCAGAUUAGGUCAGUAGUCAAGUCUAGUUUCUGUCAACUUAGACAACUGGCCAAGGUGAAGCGAUUUCUUUAACUUUAUGCCACGUCGCUAGCUCACUGCUUAGCUUGUGCUAAAGGAGCGCAGACCAGUAAUAUGACGGAUCUUACCUUCGCCUGCUCGGUGGGCAUGAAAGUAGCCGGUAAGUAACCCUUACCUCAUAUUUUAAAAGUAACAGAGAUCUGGUCGCGGAAUCUCAGCGAACUACCCGUAACUCCCGCCCGUCUUUAAAGAAACCGUGCCAGUGUUGUCAUUUUGGAGCCACAGUGAAAACUCGCCAGUCAGUCAUUCUACAGCCACAGAUACACAGUCUCAGAUCGUGCCGUGUGGGGAACUGGCAUAAAUCACAUCUCCCACUCAGUCAUUCUACAGCCACAGACACACACUGUCUCAGGUCAUGCCGUGUGGGGAACUGGCAUAAAUCACAUCUCACACUCAGUCAGUCAUUCUACAGCCACAGACACACACUGUCUCAUGUGGUGCUUUGUGGGGAACUAGACUGUCUCGACUUUAAUUUGAUGUCUUUUUGAGAUUUUUCCAACUUUCCAUUGUUUUGUUCAUUCACAUUUAUACAGCUUUUGAACAGGGGUGACCAAACUUUCAGACUCAGCUGUACACCAAAUCAUUGGUGCCAUUUGAAAAUUCAGAUUUCUUUUUACUCUGAACAAUGUAAAGUUGGCAAUUCAUGUUUUAACCAGCUCUUAAUUUUGUGAACAGGCAGGGGUGUGUUUGCAAUGGCACCUUUUACAAAGGGGUAAUUUGUUAUGUAGUACCGUGGUCAACUGAUUGACUUCAUAGAGUCGGAGAGGAGAAGGAGAGUAUACAAUCCAAAAUGCUCUGUCUUCAUGUACGACUUGAUGUGGCAUGACAAGAUGUAGUGCAUUGAUGCUGCCACUGAAGAUGGGUCCUUCGGAAGGCUCGUAAAUGAUAACCAUGUUGAUCCUAAUUGCAAAAUGAAAAAGAUCAUCCUUGGGGAAAAACCACAUCUGUCAUUUUGUGGACAGAGACGUAUACGUAAUUUCCUCUCCUACGUUUAACUAUGGAGAUAGCAAUUGGCCAUGGAGACAAAAGGUGGAGACCCCCAUCAAGCAAACGGAGGUAGAAACGGCAACUAUGCAACAGGACCAGACCACACCCCACGCUUUGAUGUCUUCCUUGGUCUACCAUUGACAUCUCUCAUGUUGGAGCCAUGAUUCAUGUCAGUCCACUUGGUGCAACAGC